AGACCCGAAACCCGGUGAUCUAGCCAUGGGCAGGUUGAAGGUUGGGUAACACUAACUGGAGGACCGAACCGACUAAUGUUGAAAAAUUAGCGGAUGACCUGUGGCUGGGGGUGAAAGGCCAAUCAAACCGGGAGAUAGCUGGUUCUCCCCGAAAGCUAUUUAGGUAGCGCCUCGUGAAUUCAUCUCCGGGGGUAGAGCACUGUUUCGGCUAGGGGGCCAUCCCG
rnacentral:rRNA from 3 species